AUUGAACGCUGGCGGCAGGCCUAACACAUGCAAGUCGAACGAGUGGCGGACGGGUGAGUAAUGUCUGGGAAACUGCCUGAUGGAGGGGGAUAACUAAUGGAAACGGUAGCUAAUACCGCAUACCAUCGGAUGUGCCCAGAUGGGCUUAUCUAGUAGGUGGGGUAACGGCGCACCUAGGCGACGCUCCCUAGCUGGUCUGAGAGGAUGACCCGCCACACUGGAACUGAGACACGGUCCAGACUCCUACGGGAGGCAGCAGUGGGGAAUAUUGCACAAUGGGCGCAAGCCGGAUGCAGCCAUGCCGCGUGAGUGAAGAAGGCCUUCGGGUUGUAAAGCACUUUCAGCGAGGAGGCGGUACCCGCAGAAGAAGCACCGGCUAACUCCGUGCCAGCAGCCGCGGUAAUAC
rnacentral:rRNA from 1 species